AAAUUCCUGAGCCACCUGCUCCGAGCGAUUUCCCUUUCAAGCUGUGUGUUCUGCGGGGGCAGGGCGAGCUGCAAGGGCUCAUCUUUCAGGACAUGCCGCAAAGGACCUUUGAAGUCAUCCGCCCUGCUCUUGGCACCUGGCGCCUGGAGCUGAGCUCUUCCAGAAAUGACCUCUGCGCAUUCCUCUGGCCCUGAUGCCCAUCCCAGGCAGUCGCGGUCCAGAGCAGGGAGGAGCACCGCGGUCUUGAGGGAGGACCCUGCGUCAAGCCAAGCCACCAGACCCUGUUCCCCCACCACCCCGACGUGUAACCCUGGCGCGAGGAACGGGGACCGGACUUUUAGGCCUUGAAGGGCAGACCUGCUCCACCAAACAUUCCCAUUGUUGAUGGGGGGCCCCCCAAGCUGGGCUCCGUGGAUGUCCUUCCAGAGGGGCCUGCCAGACUAAGCCCUUCCAUCAGCCAGACCUGAGAAUAAGAGCAGUUAGUGAGGAAAUUGCCUAAUCAUUUGCAGGCUAGGAGAAAAGACCGCACUGUAGAACAACCUGUUUUAAUAGGAAGCUCAAAACUUCUCAUCUUAAUGCUAACGACCGCCCAUUUAUAUUAAAUGGACCCCGGAGCGCCCUUCUUAAAUGCUCGUUUUCUUUUUGUCUCCUUGAGUUUGAACCUUUAAGACCACCUGGACGGUGGGGACAUCCUCCCUCAACGUGCAUUGCUCAUCUCGCCACGAGGGGGCGCUCCCAGAUCAGAGACAGGCGGCUGCCGUCCACCUGCCUCGGGCCGCCACCUCCUGUGCAGGCAUCAAUUUCGUGCACCUGCCCACAGGGGAGGGCGGGGCGGGGAAGGGGGGCGGUCUCCUGCCCCGUUAAGACUCUAUGAAGUCCAGGUGCAGCCCUGAAGGCUAGAGCAAGGUCACUACCGAGGAACAAGAUGUUCCUUGAGACUUCCCGGGAUCUGUGAAAACUCUGGACCUCUGGGAAGUCAAUGGUACUGCACUGAGGGCCUACUGUGUGUCAGGUUUUAUUCACUUCACAAACACUGAGGGCCUGCAGAAGCGGCUGUUCAGGAAGGAGAGGAAGCUGAGGGUGAGGGAGGGAGCCUGACCCUCACACCAGUUUCCCUGGCAGCCAGCAGAGCGUUCCACAACGUGUUGCCAAGCCAGCAAGUGGUCUGAGCUGUGGACUAGCUUCAGCCUGCUCCCAGGGGAGCUCUGGAGUGGGAACUGUAGUACCACGAGGGCGUCAAAUGCGAAGUAUAUUGAUAUCCCAGCAGACCUCAAUAUCCUUUUUUAUCUUCCCGCUAUAACCAGAAUAUGUGCGCAAGCAGUGUAAGCGCUCUUCUUUUUAGAGUGCAACAAAUGAACUUCAACCCCUCUCGAGAAGUGAGUAAAGAGGCAGCCCCAGGACACAGAGACAGUGCAGUGAGGCUGCGGUGACUUAUCGCCCAGGAACCCACUGAUUAAGUAACUUUGGACAAAGCCUCGAGCAAAGAUAACUGUUUAAAUGGCGCAGCGGCGGAAAAAUCAGUUUGGCUGAUUGAUGUCCUGGGUUUCUAGUUAGUGGGUGGCUUCCAGCCAUGGCUCUGCCUCAGCUCCCAGAAUUACUCCAAUAAGUGAUUUGCUCAUCCCUAACUCUUCCCGGGGGGUGGGGAGAGGGAGCUGAAUCAGCCCUCUCACAACCCUGAUUGGGAUUUAAUAGGAGACCAGUGGGCAUUGGUACACUGGGGGCAAUGUGGAGAGAGAAGCAGAUUUGUCAGGGUUGGCACAAAUAUCUGGCUCUUGCCUGUGGGUGUGGAGGGGAAAAAUACAGUCAGAAACGAAGUGA